CGCGUGGAUGAUGAAGGCCUUUGGGUUGUAAAAUCCUGUUUUGGGGGAAGAAACCUUAAGGGUCCAAUAAACCCUUGAAUUGACGGUACCCCAAGAGAAAGCUCCGGCUAAUUAUGUGCCAGCAGCCGCGGUAAUACAUAAGGAGCAAGCGUUAUCCGGAAUUAUUGGGCGUAAAGAGCUCGUAGGCGGUCUUAAAAGUCAGGUGUGAAAUCAUCAGGCUCAACCUGAUAAGGUCAUCUGAAACUUUAAGACUUGAGGAUAGAAGAGGAAAGUGGAAUUCCCGGUGUAGCGGUGAAAUGCGUAGAUAUCGGGAGGAAUACCAGUGGCGAAGGCGGCUUUCUGGUCUAUUUCUGACGCUGAGGAGCGAAAGCUAGGGGAGCAAACGGGAUUAGAUACCCCGGUAGUCCUAGCUGUAAACGAUGGAUACUAGGUGUGGGAGGUAUCGACCCCUUCUGUGCCGCAGCUAACGC
rnacentral:rRNA from 1 species